CCCUUAGAUGUCCUGGGCCGCACGCGCGUUACACUGAUGCAUUCAACGAGCAUAUAACCUUGGCCGAGAGGCCUGGGUAAUCUUGUUAACAUGCAUCGUGAUAGGGAUAGAUUAUUGCAAUUAUUAAUCUUGAACGAGGAAUUCCUAGUAAUCGCAGUUCAUCAAACUGCAAUGAUUACGUCCCUGCCCUUUGUACACACCGCCCGUCGCACCUACCGAUUGGAUGGUCCGGUGAAGCCUCGGGAUUGUGGUUCUUGCCGCUUUAUUGUGGCGUGACCGCGAGAACUUGUCUAAACCUUAUCAUCUAGAGGAAGGUGAAGUCGUAACA
rnacentral:rRNA from 1 species